rnacentral:sRNA from 1 species
AGAAUGCAUGGGGACGAGCCUGGGGGGCCGUCUGAGAGUCCCCCAACCCUGGAUCCCCACGGCAGCCCCCAGUGUUGGGUUUUUCAGUGGCUGGUGUGCCCCGGGCUGGUCACCUCUGCAUUUUGUUCUGCUGGGAGUUUGCUCCUGGCCCUCCAACAGCACCUCCUCUGUGAGGCCUCUGCUGGCUCUGGAGGCUGGAGUUCCCGUGCUGGGCCCUCCAGGGCAGGUUCUCUCUUGCUGCGGCCAGUACCCUGCCCCUCCCGUCCUCCUGGGUAGCCUGGGAGGAAUGGCCGAAGAAAGCAGUGAAGCCAGAUAGCAGUGGCCCAGCCACCCCACCAGGCUCUGCUGCAGGCUGGGCUCUCAAGGCAGCUGCUCCAGGAGGGGCCCCCUAGGAAGGGACUGCCUCACUCCUGGGAGCGUUCCUGGCCCCCUCCAGUGUGACUGACCCUGGGCCCCAAGGCUCCGAACACCCGCCUCUCUGCUUCAGGAAACAGGCCCCGGCAGCAAGCCGCCUGGCCUCCGUCCGAGCCCGGGCACCUGGGUUCACGUGCUGGGCUGCCCG